rnacentral:rRNA from 1 species
AGACGUAGGGGGCUAGCGUUGCCCGGAUUCACUGGGCGUAAAGCGCGCGUAGGCGGUUCGGCAAGUCGCCCGUGAAAGCCCCUGGCUCAACUGGGGGAGGUCGGGCGAUACUGCCGGGCUAGAGGGCGGCAGAGGGAGGUGGAACGGCCGGAGUAGCGGUGAAGUGCGUAGAUACCGGCCGGAAUCCCGAUGGCGAAGGCAACCUCCUGGGCCGUUCCUGACGCUGAGGCGCGAAAGCUGGGGGAGCGAACCGGAUUAGAUACCCUAGUAGUCC